CACCGCCCGUCACACCAUGAGAGCUGUUUGUACCCAAAAACAUUUUAGCUAACCCGCAAGGGAUGCGAAUGUCUAAGGUAUGGAGAGUGAUUGGGGUG
rnacentral:rRNA from 1 species